ensembl:lncRNA
CAAAGAUUAGUAAGGGGGAGUUUUUUGCAGGAUUUUAGUGUAAAAAGAAAAUUCUUGUGAGGAUUUAAGCUCCAGUGGGAACUACUCCAAAGACAGAUCAUGCUCGAGGUCCUUUGAGAGUCAGCAGCCAGCUUGGUAACACCCCCCCGGGCAGUUUAAUUAAUCCCCCCCAAAUAAAAUGAAUUAGGGAGAGAGCCUUAACUCUGAUUUAGUGGUCUCUGAGACGCAUCAACUGGACUUUUAAAGAAACCAGUCAAAAUAUUAGGUUUAACAGUUACACUCCUUCUACCCAACACUGUUAACAUCUCUGUUUAACCCACCAUAGACUUACGCUGUCAAUACCAUAAGCCAAGAAAAGUACUCUCCUCUUUUCUACGAUGAAGAGUACGGUAGAUAAACUCGCCACAACACCGAUGAAAUUUUGCAGAUCCAAAGAUCUUCUAAAUACUUGAACUCAUAGUCUCUGCACUUCCUGUUUCAUAGGGGCACUUGUGAGAUAAUCCAUGAUGAUUGGGGAUCUACGGAGGCCAAAACAGCAAAUUUUGUGGUGUAAACAUUUGUUAUUGUUAUGUUUUUGAAAGAAGAGAUUAAUCUAUAGUUCAGUUUUUUACUAUUUUUAUCUUAUUAUUUUUUUUUUAUUAGAGAUGUAAAAACUACCCUGAGUCACUUUAUGGAAUCUGUGAAUUUGAUUUCAAACAGGAAGCCUCUAAAAUGGGUGCCGUCAGACUAGAGUGACUGCAGCGUGCCUGUGGUGAAUCCUUGUCCCACCAAUCAGCAUGCGUUAGCAAAAUAUCAGCAGUUAAUUGACAGUUUUAGUCUUUCUGGAAAAAUAAAUUGGAAGCAUAUUUUAUUUGCAGACAUGUUAUCUGUACUAUAUUUCUAAAAACUAAAAUAAGUGUGUUUUGUAUUUUCCUUUGUCUAGAAGCAAGUGUACAUAUUAAUUUUACCUCUAAUUCAUUAAGGACUUUCUCAAGAGUGCCCCUUCUGCAUUCCUUCCUGAAUCGCAUCAAAUUUCUCUACAGGAGUAUUAACAGAAAGUGGAAUAACUCCCCCAGAUCAGCUCUGCAAUCUAAAUGAAAGGAUAAAGGGCUUUAAAUUUAAUAAUUGCGUCACAGAGACAGAAAAACUGGAUAUUUAGUCAAAUCUCAUUUUGAAAAAAUGCUUCAAAAGUUUGGCGACUUUACACUUCACUUCAAAAAGGGCUCAAUCCAAAAGUGCAAAAACAAAAACAAAAGUCUUUGAUUAUCCUAACAGAGCACUGAAUAGCACUGCAAGUGCUCACACAUUUUUCUACAAUACAUAGAAGAUAAACCUCCUGCCAGGAUACAGCUGAAACAGCAGCAAAACUUUACCGUUAAUAUGUGUGAUGCAACAAAACGAUUGGCUCGUAUCUCUCCGGGGACUCUGAGUGCCACGGCUUCUCUUUCUUAUAAUGUCUCAUUGUUUGCCAUGAGCUAAUGGCACGAUUCAAACUGGAUCAGGGCUGAUACUGUUGUAAAAGAUGCAUGGAAAAAAGAAUGAAAACAGAAUGUAAAAAAGAAGAAGACAAAGAAACUCCUUAUUCAGGAGUGAGUGUGAUUAUGUGUUUGUGUGUGGGCGGACUGAUCUAAUUAUGGAACCACAUAAUGUUUGGUAGCCAUAUACACUUCAUAGCAUUAUUAAUGCACAGCCAUUUAUUACUCAGGCUUUAAAACGACACCUUGAGCAGCUGCAGUGCCAGCGUCCAACCAGCAGGGAGAGCUGUCAGCAUUCACCCAUGUUCUUUCAGCCAUAAUCACACCUGCUGCACCUGCAGUGAAUAUGCACGGCGUCACCCGCUCGCCUGAGCAGGUUGGUGGGGGCGGGUAUUGCAGGGCUAAAUGAGAUAGGACCUGUUUGUAUUGUAACUACGGAUGUCAAGUCUGAGUGUGUUUUGGGAGUGUGUGCUUAUGUGAAAGGCUGCAGAGAGCCUUCCAGACCAUCUGACUUUUAUCCAGCGCCAAAUGUGUUGUUUAAAGCUGUACAGUUUCUAGAACAGAUGAUUGAAUAUUCAGGCUAUUCAGAAGUUAAAUAGUUCAGAAAAUCUGAGCGUGUCACGGUGUAAGUCUGUUAAUCAUGUAGAUACCUGCAGCGUAAAGCUGAAUCUACCCAGAAUUUUUGGUUAUUGACUGUCAUGUGAGUCAUUUUAAGGCAGCAUCCUCCCCAGAAGUCAUCAGCCUUUAUGUCUUUUCUUUGUCUUAUGUGACACUUUUACUUGCUUUGGGGGCUUUUUGUAAGACAGAAGAAGCAGUUUAAAGACAUUUAUGCCCAAUUUUCAGCAGCUUAUUUCAUUUAAAGCUCAUUGCCUGCUUCUCUUGUCUGCACCUUUGCGCGCUGGUGGUAUUAAAAGGUUUUAUGUGUAUAUUGUUGCCAUAACUGACCUCCUGUACAUUUCGUGUAACUUUACAGACUUUAUACUUGUGUGUUAUUAGUAAUGUUUGCUGUCUGUUAUGUGGCCAAACUGUCAAUAAGCAGCCAGACUUACAAUGAGUACCUUAACACUGACCUAUUCUGCUCAUUUAAAGCUAUAUAUCUUCAGUCUUAGACUUAACUAGCGUAGCUUUGCAUGAUCCAGAGCUCAACAAUAAUCCUGGUUUAGCUGAUACUGGGCCCUUGGGGAGGAAGGCAUCUUCUGUCUGAAAAUAAAACAGUUUUAGACAGAGGAUACCUUCCUCCUUAUUGGUUGCCUGUCGUAACACUUUAUGCCACAGCAGGUGGGCGGGGCUUCUGUGCUCAGAUCACCUCAUUAGGAAUCACAGAGUUAAGAGUAUCAGCAGCCACUUUGGAUUUGGUUGAUUUAUACAAAUAAUGGCCGAAAUAUUUUGAAACUAUGUCCGUGUUUGAUAUGAGCAUCUAUCAUUCAAACAGAAUAUAAAUAACAGUAAAUUAAGGAAAAGCAUAAUAGGUCUACACAGAUAAAAUGUGAAAACACUUGUCAGAUUUUAUCUUGAAAACCUACAUCUCUUGUUAUUGCAUACACAAGAAACUGUUAUCUAUGUUACCCUAAAAGUAAAUGUUUUUUGUGUGUGAGUCUGUGUUGACAUCGUACGUGUCUCAUAACAAGCAGCCAAACUGCACAUGAAUUUUGUGCUAUUUUUAUAAAGAUGUAUUCAAAUUUCUGUUUUCUCUGUCAACUGCUGCUUCUGAUGUCUAGGCUCAAAUAACAGGAGAGCUGAAGGAAAUUUCACUUUUUAAAUGUGAGGAUUUUCUGCUUUGGAAAUCUCUUUGGGUUUUAGAGGGAAGAGUUUUCAAUAGCUUUUUCGUACCUUUAUGCUAAUAUUUUAUGAUAUGCCCUCAAAUGGUUGAUCAGAAAUUCAAUCAGAAGCGCUCCAUUUUUUGCUUAGAGGCCAGAUUACCCUGUUAAUGGUGCAAAUUCUCCAAUAUAUGAGUAUAAUAAUGAAACACCUGGAAGCUCGUGGGGUUUGGGGACUCUUGGGGCAGUGGCCCAUUCAACCUAAUUUUGGUAAUCCAGCACUGCUGUCUGCACAACAUAACAAUAAAUAUCAUCUUUUUCAAGUUUUAGGGCUCCACAGACUCGAUGCAAAAACAUUUAUAUUUUUAAAUAUAAAUGACAACAUGAUUUGACCUGUUAGAGCAGCAGGGCCCUGGGCGGUCACCCAACUGAUCCUAAACUGGUUCUGGCACCAGAUUUAAACCAAAAUUAACCCUUAACCAAGCAACAUAUCAGCUGCAUGCCUCAUCUGAUGCCUUAACCCGGGCAGCCUUUCAUUCAAUCAACAAAAACAGUGCUGACAUUCAAAAGAGUUUAAUAGUUGAAAGGUAACUAAGAAUUAAACUCGGUUUGAUUCAAUGUUAGUUAUAUAGUACCAAAUCACAACAACAGUGGAAAGGAAAAACUGGCAAACGUGGCAAGGAAAAACUCCCUUUUAACAGGAAGAAACUUAGAGGGAGAAGAGCAUAGGGAGGGGCGGCUAUCUGCUGCAACCGGUUGGUGGUGAAUCUUAAACUCAUAAAAUCUCUUUCACAAGAGUGUCCUAGGCCAGCUUUGACCUCAAAUAUUAGCUCAAUGUUACUUUACUGAGGUCGAACUCCUCUAUCAGCUGCUGUGUUUUGCUAUCGUUAAUGCAGUUAUCGGUGCACAUAGCCUCCAUACUAUUGCCAACUCUGUGGCCAGAUCAGUUUCACCAUUUAUUAACCGACUGUUUGGGGGAUAUAAAGAGCUGCACUGAAGUGCGAUCCAUAAAGUGCCAAAGCCAAACCAACAACAGCGAGAGCAGUCACUUAAUCGUCUGUGGCUUUAUAUGCAGUACAGAUUUAAAGAAGUUUAGAGUCUUCACUGUAUCUCAAAGUUUUCCCCUUCCCACCGCCUCUCUCCAUGUGUUCUCACCACUCACAUACAUCACAGAGCAGCAGCUGGUCCUCCAUGGCACUGGUUAGCAUAGAAAUGCCUGGUUCCCCUUGAUGACGCCUGCGUGAUACUCAUGUCAAAGUGUUGCACCGUGUUCACAGACGUAGGAUAUCUGCAGCUCAAACUGUCUCUUCAGCGUGCACUUGUACAUCACAGCCUCAUUUCUGAAUGUAAAUAAAGCAUGAGAUAUUACGGCCUGCUUUCAUUUAUAUUAUGAUUAGAGUAUUAAAAGAAGGCUUAAUAUAUAAGGUAGGUCAGCAUUUUUUCCUGUCCUUGAGCUCAUGGUCAUUUCUCUCUUUUUGUUUUUAAUCAAUGUGAAUGAAGGGAAUGGCUAUAUUUAAUGCUGUUGUAUGCUGUCGUGUUUUAGAGACUUGAGCCAGCUCAUACGAAUCUUUUUACAUGUAGAGGUCUGGUCUGAUCCGUCUCAGUGUUUUUUAGACUGGUGCAGAUAAGGCGAUGUUCAUUUUAUGCUAUACAUACAGUGAGCUACAUGUGUCACUGCCUUGUUAUAACUCACCAAGGAAAUGUUGUUUGUGAGCUUCUCACUUUGAGAAGCAUAGGAGAUAAAAUAAAAGUGUUUUGAAAGGUUUACUGCACGUGUGAACAUCAUUGCGUGGAAUGUAAAGUGCCGUACUUAAGCGCUUUAGUCGUGUGCAUUAGUUGAAUGCUUCUGUACAAAUUUCACAUGUGAGACUUCAAAAACAUGUGCUUAUAAAAUAGAGUGCUUUAAAAAUUUGCUCCA